rnacentral:rRNA from 1 species
GAUGAACGCUGGCGGCGUGCCUAAUACAUGCCAGUCGAACGGGGAGUAGCAAUACUCUUAGUGGCGAACGAGUGAGUAACGAGUUGGUACCUGCCCCGAAGCGGGGGAUAACGGACCGAAAGGUACGCUAAUACCCCAUGUGCUCGGUAACGAGUAAAGGUGAAAACCACUUUGGGAGGGGCCUGCGUCCCAUCAGCUAGUUGGUAAGGUAACGGCUUGCCAAGGCGAUGACGGGCAGGGGACCUGAGAGGGGGGCCCCCCACAAUGGAACUGAAGCACGGUCCAUACACCUACGGGUGGGAGCAGUAGGGAAUAUUGGUAACGGGAGCAAGCCUGAACGAGCAAGGCCGCGUGUGCGAGGACGGCCUUCGGGUUGUAAAGCACUUUUGACUGGGACGAGGAAGGACGGUACCGGUCGAAUCAGCCUCGGCUAACUACGUG